rnacentral:rRNA from 1 species
GAUGAACGCUGGCGGCGUGCCUAAUACAUGCAAGUCGAGCGAACAGAUGAGGAGCUUGCUCCUCUGACGUUAGCGGCGGACGGGUGAGUAACACGUGGAUAACCUACCUAUAAGACUGGGAUAACUUCGGGAAACCGGAGCUAAUACCGGAUAAUAUAUUGAACCGCAUGGUUCAAUAGUGAAAGACGGUUUUGCUGUCACUUAUAGAUGGAUCCGCGCCGCAUUAGCUAGUUGGUAAGGUAACGGCUUACCAAGGCAACGAUGCGUAGCCGACCGGAGAGGAUGAUCAGCCACACUGGAACUGAGACACGGUCCAGACUCCUACGGGAGGCAGCAGUGGGGAAUAUUGGACAAUGGGCGCAAGCCUGACCCAGCAAUGCCGCGUGGGUGAAGAAGGCCUGCGGAUUGUAAAGCUCUUUUGUUGGGAAAGAAAAACAGUAGAUUAAUACCCGCCUGUUUUGACGGUACCAAAAGAAAAAGCACCGGCUAACUUCGUG